CUGUGGUGAUUUGUGUGAAUUACACCGUUGCAAAUCGAGUCUAAAAAACAUGAGUGCUGCGCCCUCCUGUGGUGAUGUGUGUGAAUUACCUAGUGUAGCGGAUGGAAAACUGCGCUUCAGUUUCAAUUUGACGAGUCUUUAUUUUAUUAGUGCAAAGAGACACAAAGUUGAUUCAGCUUCAGAUUGAUUAUAUUACAAAGCGUCGCACAUACUUUGACAAUGAGACAAUGACUUUGUGUAGUUUUGGCAGCAGAUUCGUGCAGCACUUAUAGUCAAUCUUGGCUGGAUCUUCGUCUGUCUGUCACGUGAUGAGGAACCAUGUUGUGAGGAGCACGUGAGUCUCUGGAUCUCUGGACGCUCGUGAGACAGACUCCAGCUUCUCUACAUAGGACAAGUGUUUGGAGAAUCCUGGAUGGAGAGCAGGCAUGUGUGCAUGAAACCAGAGACCAGAUUAAUGUGUUCAUGUACCCCACCUUGUGGACACUAAGUGUAUCUGCAUUAAUAUAUGAAAACAGCAUGAAGAGGAAAGAGAUUUAAAAAAAAGUCCCUAAUCCUGCUCCUGACGAGCCACUUUCCUGAGUUUAUCUCCAACCCUGUAAAAAAACGCUCUAGCAGCUGAACAAUAAAUUGUUGUUUUAAUGAAUGCUGUUGCUAAACUAAAAAAACAACCACAAUGAACCAUAUCAAACAUCACAAAUGCCGUGGCUCAGUGGCUAAUCAUUUGUCUUUCAUUCAGUUCUUGGUCCAAAUCCCACAGUUGCUAAUAUUUUUAUCACAGAAAACAAAGCCCUCAAUAAACUCAAAAGAGUUCAA